ACUCCGGUUGAUCCUGCCGGACCCGACUGCUAUCGGAUUGGGAUUUAGCCAUGUUAGUUGUGCGUCCCUUGGCUACAGGGGACGCGGCGUACGGCUCAGUAACACGUAGUCAACCUGCCCUGGAGACGCGGACAAACCCGGGAAACUGGGGCCUAUCCGCGAUAGAUGGCCUCAUCUGGAAGGAGAGGCCGUCCAAAAGGGCGCACGGGUAUGCUCUGUGCGAACCGCUCCAGGAUGGGACUGCGGCCGAUCAGGCUGUUGGCGGGGCAAUGGCCCACCAAACCUGUAACCGGUACGGGCUUUGAGAGAAGGAGCCCGGAGAUGGACACU
rnacentral:rRNA from 1 species